CCUAGCUUCCUCAUCGCCAAUUCCCUUGUUCCCGCGAGUUCCCGCGCUCGCCGGCCUCUCCUCCUCUCCCGAGCCCUCACCUCCUCCGUCGAACUCCUUUCUCCCGACCUCCUCUCCCUCGUCGAACCACUUCUCCCCAAGCUAAGCCGGCGAUCUCUCCCUCAUGCGAGCACCAGCCGACCAUUCUCCCUCGCACGAGCAGCGAGACACCGACGUUGCCAGCCAUCGACGCCGCCGACCAUGGGAGAUCAGUAUCCGUCGAGUUUCUCCCUCACAGGACUCUGCUCGAUGGUCGAUCACGCUGGCAGCACUUGCUAGCCGUUGCCCCUUUCCCCAAGCUUCUUCUUUCUUCUCCUAAGUUUUUCCAGCCGUGCCCUAGCUUUGAUUUGUCGCCAGGAGGGGGAAGUUGAUGAAGGGGGGUGACGACAAACUCUUCACCUCGCUUGCGGAUCCGAGCAAGCCAACGUAGAUUCUAUCAAUGAGAAUUCCCUUUAUCCUAUUACCGACCAGACACAGCCACCUCUGUGAAUCAUCGUCGCUGCCCUUCCUUUCAGUGGGCAAUGGGUUGCUAUUCGGGUAGAGAUAGUGAAGAAGCAGUGAACCUCCCGCAAAAAUAAGGAAGUUGCUGGAUCAGCCAUUGCGACUCCAACCUGGUUUUCGGCAACAACUUCACUGUAGCUUCAACAAUGAAUUUCCAGUAGUAAGUUUCUUCGACGGCGGGUUAACAAUAGUGCAAUCAGAUUUGGAUAAGUCAUAGAGGUAACAGGUAGAUGAGUCAUGGAUGCUUGGAGAGAUGCCGACCGCCAGUCCUGGGUCCUACGUCACACUCGAGGAUAGUUUUCGUUUUGGUUUUGUUAUCGUUUUGGAUUGUAUGUUAAUUUUGCGUACCUUGCUUUUGAACAAGUCGAUAUGAAUUUUGGGUCAAGUCUGUGAUGACAGGUAUUUUUAUUUGUGUCGUUGGUUUUACGUUCGUAUCGUUUUAUGUCUUCCGCUGCUGUGUGUUUAUUUAGUUCCAGCCGAGUGAGCUAUUAUUAAUUGCCUUGUUGUGCUCAUAUCCAGUCGUGUGGGCUGUUGUAUUAUGUUAUAUGUUUUAUUCAUUUAUGUCCA